rnacentral:sRNA from 1 species
ACAUGGUUGAUCACCCAUAAUAUUGAGGU